rnacentral:rRNA from 1 species
GACGAACGCUGGCGGCGUGCCUAAUACAUGCAAGUCGAACGCAGUGGCGGACGGGUGGGUAAUGCCUCGGAAUCUGCGCGGUAGAGGGGGAUAACGUCAGGAAAUGGGCGAUAAUACCGCAUAUUACCAGAUGGGACUAGGUCGGAUUAGGUAGUUGGUGGGGUAAAGGCCUACCAAGGCGACGAUCCCUAACUGGUCUGAGAGGAUGAUCAGUCACACUGGAACGUAGACACGGCCCAGACUCCUACGGGAGGCAGCAGUGGGGAAUCUUCGACAAGGGACGAAAGUCUGACCUAGCAACGCCGCGUGAGUGAAGAAGGUUUUCGGGUCGUAAAACUCUGUUGUUGGAGAGGCGGUAUCUAACCAGAAAGCCACGGCUAACUCCGUGCCAGCAGCCGCGGUAAUAC